rfam:Marinobacterium sp. ST58-10, complete genome.
AACCGCCGUAUACGGAACCGUACGUACGGUGGUGUGAGAGGACGGAGGCCGCGAGGCCUCCUCCUACUCGAU